rnacentral:lncRNA from 1 species
CCGCAAGGUGGAGCUCCUCUCGCCUUUACCCCCGCCGCCGGAGGAGAAGAAGGAAGAGGAGAAGAAGGAGGAACCUGAGCCGCCGAAACCUGAAGAGAAGAAGGAGGUGAAGGACCUUAACGAAUGCACGCAAUGCAGUACUCCUACUAGUUUGUAUGUUAAUUUCAGUUUUACUUCAGAUUUGGCUAAACUGACUGAAUGAUGUUUGGUUUUGAAGCCAACGGUGAUCUCCGUGGUGCUGAAGGUGCACAUGCACUGCGAGGCCUGCGCGCAGGCGAUAAAGAAGAGGAUCGAAAAGAUGAAAGGUGCGUAAUGGGCUGCUGUGGGAUUACCUGCCCUUUUUUCAUUUCUCUCUCGCGUCAUUUUCGUCAGGACAGAAACAUCUAUGGCCUUUCUCUUACUAGUAUUUAUUUUCACUAGCUCCUCCUAGAAUUAGUUUACUACUAUGUGUCAUGUUUAGAAUCUACCUAGUGAUUCAGCAAAGGUCAAGCAAAUCUUUCCUCUGAUGCAAUGAUGAAAAAAGAGGGAUUCCUCUUUAGGUCGAUGGCUGAAACAAAGCCAAAAUGUGGGCCUUGUACGUGUAGCUCCUUUUCUUGCAAAAGAUGCACAACUGUGUGCAGAUAAGAUUCACUCCUUCACCUACCUGUCUGGCUAUAUAGUGUGACAAUAUUAAUCUGGAUCGUAUAAGAAUUUUUUCUGCCUAAAAUCACACUAGAUAGAUCAUCCUCGAGCUCGGUGAUACUUUGUUAUGUAGGAGUAGUAGUAUUGCUGAAGAUUUUGGUUCGAAAUUAUGCAGGAGUGCAAUCUGCAGACCCAGACCUGAAGGCGUCGGAAGUGACGGUGAAGGGCGUGUUUGAGGAGGUCAAGCUGGCCGAGUACGUGCACAAGCGCACCGGCAGGCAUGCGGCCAUUAUCAAGUCCGAGCCGGUUGCCCCGGCCGAGAAAGCCGGCGAAGGAGACGCCAAGGAUGAGAAGAAGGCAGCCGAAGGCGGCGAAGAGAAGAAGGACGACAAGGAGGAGAAGAAGGACGACAAGGAUGGCGCCGCAGACGAGAAGAAAGAGGAGAAAGACAAGGAGGAUGGAGGCGCCGGCGGCGAGGAGAAGGAGAAGGAGAAAGACCCCGGCGCCAUCGCCGCAGCCAACCUCUACAUGCAUUACCCGCAGUUCGCCUUCCCGGGAGGGUACUACCCGCCGAGGCUGGGUUACGCCGCCUACCCUCCGCCGCCGGCCUACCCGCCGUACCCGCCGCAGAUCUUCAGCGACGAGAACCCGAACGCCUGCUCCGUCAUGUAAAAAGGAGGUUAGAACCUUGGUGGUCUAGAGUGGAAAACAAAUAAGAAGGGGAGAAGGGACUGCAUGAGUUGAGGGGUGCCAUGGCAGCAAAAAUGCCCUCGAGCAAAGCAAAUGGCAGCAGCUUGAAGAAAGUACCAGGCUUUUUUGCGGUCAGGUUUCCCUUUUUUUGAACCUUUUAUGUUUUUACCGUCUGGUAUAAAGUAAGUCUGGACUUCCUUGUCAGUUGAUGGAUGUUUUCAUCUUAUGUAGAUUUUUCUUUUUGCCUUGUACUGAACUUAUGUAAAAACUGUUAUUAUAGUAUAGUAAUUCUCUCCAUCUCCUUGGCUGUGUGCUGGUGCCCGGCCCUAAACAUCUAGGACCCGGAGGAACAGUCGCUCUGUCAAAAAACUGUGGUGGUGAGAGG